rnacentral:rRNA from 1 species
GACGAACGCUGGCGGCGUGCCUAAUACAUGCAAGUCGAACGCAGUGGGGACGGGUGAGUAACACGUGGGUAACCUCCCAUCAGAGGGGAUAACACUUGGAAACAGGUGCUAACCCGCUACUGAUGGAUGGACCUCCGGUGCAUUAGCUAUUUGGUAAGGUAACGGCUCGCCCAGGCCACGAUGCAUAGCCGACCUGAGAGGUGGAUCGGCCACACUGAGACUGAGAAACGGCCCAGACUCCUACGGGAGGAAGCAGUAGGGAAUCGUCGGCAAUGGACGAAAGUCUGACCGAGCAACGCCGCGUGAGUGAAGAAGGUUUUCGGAUCGUAAAACACUGUUGUUAGAGAAGCGGUAUCUAACCAGAAAGCCACGGCUAACUACGUGCCAGCAGCCGCGGUAAUUC